rnacentral:rRNA from 1 species
GAGUAAAGCGGCGGACGGGUGAGUAACGCGUAGGAAUCUACCUGGUAGUGGGGGACAACUUGGGGAAACUCAAGCUAAUACCGCAUACGCCCUAAGGGGGAAAGCGGGGGACCUUCGGGCCUCGCGCUAUCGGAUGAGCCUGCGUAGGAUUAGCUAGUUGGUGGGGUAAAGGCCUACCAAGGCGACGAUCCUUAGCUGGUCUGAGAGGAUGAUCAGCCACACUGGAACUGAGACACGGUCCAGACUCCUACGGGAGGCAGCAGUGGGGAAUAUUGCGCAAUGGGCGAAAGCCUGACGCAGCCAUGCCGCGUGUGUGAAGAAGGCCUUAGGGUUGUAAAGCACUUUCAAUUGGGAAGAAAAGUUUGUCGUUAAUAGCGCCAAGCUCUGACAUUACCUUUAGAAGAAGCACCGGCUAACUCCGUGCCAGCAGCCGCGGUAAUACGGAGGGUGCGAGCGUUAAUCGGAAUUACUGGGCGUAAAGCGCGCGUAGGCGGUUUGUUAAGUCAGCUGUGAAAGCCCCGGGCUCAACCUGGGAACUGCA